rnacentral:misc_RNA from 1 species
GUAUAAGUUUUAAAGGCAAUUAAGCCCAUUAAUAACAUUCUUAGACAUACUUGGGGUAUAUAAAGACAUAGACCGGAAAUGUAAGGAAAGCCGGCCUAUUGAUGCACAGCAGUCCUCAAACCGAGUUUCCUCGAGAGGUAUCCAAGUCUACAAAAGGUGCACAGGUGGUAAAAGGUUGGCGUUAGGCGUGCACAUGCUCCGAAGAACCAGCAACAGCCCAACCAAGCUUAUUCAAUAAUGAUCCUUCCGCAGGUUCACCUACGGAAA